rnacentral:snRNA from 1 species
AAAUGUGCUCUUUUAGUAUUUGUCCAGAAGGUUUCUUUUAAAAAGAAACCCAC